rnacentral:rRNA from 1 species
AGGACGAACGCUGGCGGCGUGCCUAACACAUGCAAGUCGAACGAGGUCCAUCCGGUAGCAAUACUGGUGAAGAUCAAGUGGCGAACGGGUGAGUAGCACGUGAGCAACCUGCCCCGAAGACCGGGACAACACCGGGAAACCGGUGCUAAUACCGGAUAUCCCCACCGAGUCGCAUGGCUUGGUGAGGAAAUGGAUUCCGCUUCGGGAGGGGCUCGCGGCCUAUCAGCUUGUUGGUGAGGUAACGGCUCACCAAGGCUUCGACGGGUAGCUGGUCUGAGAGGACGAUCAGCCACACUGGGACUGAGACACGGCCCAGACUCCUACGGGAGGCAGCAGUGGGGAAUCUUGCACAAUGGGCGAAAGCCUGAUGCAGCAACGCCGCGUGAGGGACGAAGGCUUUCUGAGUUGUAAACCUCUUUCAGCAGGGACGAUUGUGACGGUACCUGCAGAAGAAGCCCGGCAACUACGUGCCAGCAGCCGCGGUAA